UACAGAGGGUGCAAGCGUUAAUCGGAAUUACUGGGCGUAAAGCGUGCGUAGUCGGUUAUUUAAGUCGGGUGUGAAAGCCCCGGGCUCAACCUGGGAAUUGCAUUCGAUACUGGAUAGCUAGAGUUCGGCAGAGGGAAGCGGAAUUUCCGGUGUAGCGGUGAAAUGCGUAGAUAUCGGAAGGAACAUCAGUGGCGAAAGCGGCUUCCUGGACCAGAACUGACGAUCAGGCACGAAAGCGUGGGGAGCAACAGG
rnacentral:rRNA from 1 species